ensembl:lncRNA
CGUUAACACACCUGUGUCUAAUUCCCUGAGAUCUAUGUAAGCAGUGUGUGAGAAGCUGCUCGCCUUGCGACAUCCUGCUGCUGCCCUGUGUGAAUCCUUCUCACCUCCAGAUGACUUGCUUUAACAUCACUAGAUCUUUGAUGGUCUUGAAAUAAAACCUUUCAUGUUAUAAUGAAGCGGCGUGUAUGUCUGGCUCUACUUCAGGAUGUCCGUGGUGGUGUGGAGCAGAUGUUUAUAUUGUUUCCCCCUCCAUCUGCAGUGAGGCUCAGGUGUAUUAUUGACAGAUGAUGGUGUUGGAUGUGAGGUUAUCUUGAGUACACAUGAGUGACAGUGAUUAUGAUGUGGUUUGGACACAGCACCUGACUGAGUUUUGCAGAUUCCCCUGAUGGUGAUUAGCGACGGCUGGUUUAUUGCUUACAAGCGCUACUGAUCUCUUAAUCUCUCUCUCUCUCUCUCUCUCUCUCUCAUGUUCCCUCCUGCUGUUCCGCGUCCCGCUGAGCCUCUCAGCCUGUAAUUAAUCCCAGACCAACAUCAGGCCCAGGGGCUGCCACCAGGUCAGAGGUCAGAGGUCACAGUACAGGGUGGCACCCUGAGGGUGGUGGAGGUGAGAGCUGAAUGAAACACAUGCACUCGGGUUUCUGAGUCAGCACCAAGUCUCUUCUCCUCAGAGCGCCGAUCUGCUCGGGUCUGUUCCUCAGACAGCGUAGAGUCCUGAGACCCGUCUUACUCCGACACACACUCCGACACACACUCCGACACACACUCCGACACACACUCCGACAAAAUCCGAUAUACACUCCAACACACUCCGACAAACACUCCGACAAAACACUCCGACAAACACUCCGAUACACUCUGACACACUCGGAUACACACUGACACACUCAGACUCUGAAACUUGGUCACAUUCUAGCACACUCCGACACACCCCUACACUCUCCAACACACACUCUUCCCUCCACUGAUUUCUCCGACACACACUCUUCCCUCCACUGAUUUCUCCGACACACACUCUUCCCUCCACUGAUUUCUCCGACACACACUCUUCCCUCCACUGAUUUCUCCGACACACACUCUUCCCUCCACUGAUUUCGCUGUAUCUCUGACCUUCGUCUCACCCGGUUUAAUAAUCGCACUUUGAUGCGCUCAGUGCGAGAAGCCUCACAGGCUCUGAAUAGACGGGAAACAGGAAGACAUCUGGGCCCAUGUGGUGGACGGUGCCACGGCCAUGAUGAUGAUGAUGAUGAUGAUGAUGAAGGGUUAUCACGGGGAAAGAAGAUGAUGAAAGAUGAAGAUGUACUCGUGAUAUUUUCCACAGUUUAGUGUUGAAUAAAAUCAGCCGCUGAGGUGCUC